rnacentral:rRNA from 1 species
GAUGAACGCUAGCUACAGGCUUAACACAUGCAAGUCGAGGGGCAUCAGGAAGAAAGCUUGCUUUCUUUGCUGGCGACCGGCGCACGGGUGAGUAACACGUAUCCAACCUGCCCUUUACUCGGGGAUAGCCUUUCGAAAGAAAGAUUAAUACCCGAUGGCAUAAUGAUUCCGCAUGGUUUCAUUAUUAAAGGAUUCCGGUAAAGGAUGGGGAUGCGUUCCAUUAGGUUGUUGGUGGGGUAACGGCCCACCAAGCCUUCGAUGGAUAGGGGUUCUGAGAGGGAGGUCCCCCACAUUGGAACUGAGACACGGUCCAAACUCCUACGGGAGGCAGCAGUGAGGAAUAUUGGUCAAUGGGCGCUAGCCUGAACCAGCCAAGUAGCGUGAAGGAUGAAGGCUCUAUGGGUCGUAAACUUCUUUUAUAUAAGAAUAAAGUGCAGUAUGUAUACUGUUUUGUAUGUAUUAUAUGAAUAAGGAUCGGCUAACUCCGUGCCAGCAGCCGCGGUAAUACGGAGGAUCCGAGCGUUAUCCGGAUUUAUUGGGUUUAAAGGGAGCGUAGGUGGACUGGUAAGUCAGUUGUGAAAGUUUGCGGCUCAACCGUAAAAUUGCAGUUGAUACUGUCAGUCUUGAGUACAGUAGAGGUGGGCGGAAUUCGUGGUGUAGCGGUGAAAUGCUUAGAUAUCACGAAGAACUCCGAUUGCGAAGGCAGCUCACUGGACUGCAACUGACACUGAUGCUCGAAAGUGUGGGUAUCAAACAGGAUUAGAUACCCUGGUAGUCCACACAGUAAACGAUGAAUACUCGCUGUUUGCGAUAUACAGUAAGCGGCCAAGCGAAAGCAUUAAGUAUUCCACCUGGGGAGUACGCCGGCAACGGUGAAACUCAAAGGAAUUGACGGGGGCCCGCACAAGCGGAGGAACAUGUGGUUUAAUUCGAUGAUACGCGAGGAACCUUACCCGGGCUUAAAUUGCAGUGGAAUGAUGUGGAAACAUGUCAGUGAGCAAUCACCGCUGUGAAGGUGCUGCAUGGUUGUCGUCAGCUCGUGCCGUGAGGUGUCGGCUUAAGUGCCAUAACGAGCGCAACCCUUAUCUUUAGUUACUAACAGGUCAUGCUGAGGACUCUAGAGAGACUGCCGUCGUAAGAUGUGAGGAAGGUGGGGAUGACGUCAAAUCAGCACGGCCCUUACGUCCGGGGCUACACACGUGUUACAAUGGGGGGUACAGAAGGCAGCUAGCGGGUGACCGUAUGCUAAUCCCAAAAUCCUCUCUCAGUUCGGAUCGAAGUCUGCAACCCGACUUCGUGAAGCUGGAUUCGCUAGUAAUCGCGCAUCAGCCACGGCGCGGUGAAUACGUUCCCGGGCCUUGUACACACCGCCCGUCAAGCCAUGGGAGCCGGGGGUACCUGAAGUACGUAACCGCAAGGAUCGUCCUAGGGUAAAACUGGU